rnacentral:lncRNA from 10 species
GGGGUUUUGCCAUGUUGGCCAGGCUGGUCUCUCUCAAACUCCUGACCUCAAGUGACCCACCCCAGCUCAGCUUUGCGGAGUGCUGGGAUUACAGGCCUGAGCCACUGCGCCUGGCCAUUCUUACUUAUCUCAGGCCAUAAAGUACAGGCCUGCGAUGGGGAUGGGAAAUUGCUCACACUCCAGAUUUUUCCUCCUUUGGCUCUCUCUCAAUCCCAAGUGAUCCUAUUGUUUGGUCAUAGUAGGCACUCAAUAUACACUUGUUUAAUCAAUUAAUUAACUAGUCAGGAUUCUUUAUGGAAAAUAAUAAGGUAAUUGCUAUUAUCUAGGAUGUUGUUCCAUAGCCCCAAAACCAUUACAAAAUAAAAUUGGGGUCAGCAGGUUCAAUAUUAGUCAUUCAGUCAAUAACUAAGUACUGACUGGUUGCCAGACCUUAUGCUAAGCACUGAGCAUACAGUGGUGAACAAGCCAGAUGUGGCUCUGACACUUUAAUAUCCCUCACCAACCUCUAGGCAUCAACAACCAGGUCAUCCUUCCAGGUGUCACCGAAAUGCCAGGCUAUUGCCCCUUCCUGCUGCCUGUCUCAACUGAAUGCUGUGCUGUGGCCACAUCAUACACAUGUUUUGAAGAGAAGAAUAUAGGACAAUGUUGCAAUUUUUCUAAAAAGAUGUCUGUCUAAGAUAAAUCAUGGAAAAGAAGACUUGUAGAAAUAUAGCUACAGUCAACCCAUUAAAUCAAGAACCUACCGACGGAGAACCUUUAGGAUAGUGCCCCAGUAGAAAAAUAGGCACAGGGCUGAACAUGGUGGCUCACAUCUGUAAUCCUAACACUUUGAGAGGCCAAGGCAGGAGGAUCACUUGAGCCCAGGAGUUCAAGACCAGCUUGGGCAACAUAUCAAGACCUCAUCUCUCCUAAAAAUUAAAAAAUUUGCCAGGC